ensembl:lncRNA
CAAAUGUUUAAAAGUUAUAGAAGAACAAAUUAAUCUCUGGGGAGCAUUUUAAAGAAUAAUUUAUUGUAAUUGUUUCUGUUUUUAAAACUUCAAAUUUGACCAUUUGUGGUUAUGUGUUUGUUUAAAAGGUGUGUGCAGAAUGCACAGAGGAUUAUUGUGUCGGCUGCUUUGCCAAAUUCCACCAGAAGGGGGCACUAAGGGUCCAUCAUAUUAUUCCCAUGCAGGCUGAGCUCCAUACCUCCAUCAGCACAAUUGAUGUGGUGAAUCGUUUUCAGAUGAAGAUUGAAGGUGGAGAAGACGAAGACAGUGGUGAUGGAGGAACAAAUCCAGAAUGCAGAGCAAUCUCUACAAUUUUCCAGCCUGUUUCUGAUAACCAGAUGCAUGGCAUACGAGUGCUGCUUGUGAAUGAUGCAGAUGAGGAGAAUGAAGACUCCUUUCUGAGAGGCAAUUUUGAUGAAGAGGAAUCUUCCAGAAGUUUUCAGAAGGCUCUGAAUGAGUGGAGAGCAGGAAACACACAUGGCAACAGAGAACAUCAUGAACCCAACCACAAUGUACAAACUGCUCGACCAGGUAACUAACACACACACACGCACACACACACAAAAUGUAGGUAGUCCCUAAUUGUGCUUAAAGAUCACUUGGUAAAUAAGU